CCUACGGGAGGCAGCAGUGAGGAAUAUUGGUCAAUGGACGAGAGUCUGAACCGGCCAAGUAGCGUGAAGGAUGACUGCCCUAUGGGUUGUAAACUUCUUUUAUAUGGGAAUAAAAUGUUCCACGUGUGGGAUUUUGUAUGUACCAUAUGAAUAAGGAUCGGCUAACUCGGUGCCAGCAGCCGCGGUAAUACGGAGGAUCCGAGCGUUAUCCGGAUUUAUUGGGUUUAAAGGGAGCGUAGGUGGAUUGUUAAGUCAGUUGUGAAAGUUUGCGGCUCAACCGUAAAAUUGCAGUUGAAACUGGCAGUCUUGAGUACAGUAGAGGUGGGCGGAAUUCGUGGUGUAGCGGUGAAAUGCUUAGAUAUCACGAAGAACUCCGAUUGCGAAGGUAGUUCACUGGACUGCAACUGACACUGAGGCUCGAAAGUGUGGGUAUCAAACAGGAUUAGAUACCCUGGUAGUC
rnacentral:rRNA from 1 species